UAGGGAAUCUUCGGCAAUGGACGAAAGUCUGACCGAGCAACGCCGCGUGAGGGAAGAAGGUUUUCGGAUCGUAAAACUCUGUUGUUAGAGAAGAACAAGGACGUUAGUAACUGAACGUCCCCUGACGGUAUCUAACCAGAAAGCCACGGCUAACUACGUGCCAGCAGCCGCGGUAAUACGUAGGUGGCAAGCGUUGUCCGGAUUUAUUGGGCGUAAAGCGAGCGCAGGCGGUUUCUUAAGUCUGAUGUGAAAGCCCCCGGCUCAACCGGGGAGGGUCAUUGGAAACUGGGAGACUUGAGUGCAGAAGAGGAGAGUGGAAUUCCAUGUGUAGCGGUGAAAUGCGUAGUUAUAUGGAGGAACACCAGUGGCGAAGGCGGCUCUCUGGUCUGUAACUGACGCUGAGGCUCGAAAGCGUGGGGAGCAAACAGG
rnacentral:rRNA from 1 species